rnacentral:lncRNA from 1 species
ACAGUUGCAGGAACUCUAUUCGGUAAACCAAUGGUCACUGGAGUUUGAUUCACUGGUCUCGUCUGACUUUCAGCCCUUCUGUAACUGCGGUGAGCAUUAUCAUACUUCCACGGCACAGCUCUACUAUUCUCAACAGCCCUUCUUCCAGACGCGGCGAUAGUAGUUGGAGCACUGAUGGUUACAGGCACGGAAAUGGUAACUGGGGUACCAUUUGUUGCAGGUGCACUAACGACCCUUUGUCCACGUUCUUCAGACGGUUUAAAGUAAAUGG